AAAUAUCCUUCAUUUCAUCAAAUGUCAAACAGCGAUUUACGAGAACAUAACCUAAAAUAAUUUUGAAUAUUGAUUUACAAAUAUUAUAAAAUGUACGGGAAUGAAUUUGAUGAGUAAAAUAGUAAUAGUGGAAUUUAUUGUGAAGAUAGUGUUUGCAUAGUUUCGCAUUUAUUAAGUUAGGAAUAUGCUCCGAGCGGUAUCUAGCAUUUACAUAGAAAGCCAGGCUCUUGAGCUGCUAACCACAGCCAGAAGAGAUGUUUUUAAAUUAUUCCGCACUAGCUCGUCGAGCACACCACUGGCUCACCAGACAGUAUUGACAUCCAGUGGUGGUCAAGCUGACAGUGCACACAGAGCGCGCGGCGCGGCGGCGCGCGGGGCGCAUCCCGC